GAUGAACGCUGGCGGCGUGCCUAAUACAUGCAAGUCGAGCGAACAGACGAGGAGCUUGCUCCUCUGACGUUAGCGGCGGACGGGUGAGUAACACGUGGAUAACCUACCUAUAAGACUGGGAUAACUUCGGGAAACCGGAGCUAAUACCGGAUAAUAUAUUGAACCGCAUGGUUCAAUAGUGAAAGACGGUUUUGCUGUCACUUAUAGAUGGAUCCGCGCCGCAUUAGCUAGUUGGUAAGGUAACGGCUUACCAAGGCAACGAUGCGUAGCCGACCUGAGAGGGUGAUCGGCCACACUGGAACUGAGACACGGUCCAGACUCCUACGGGAGGCAGCAGUAGGGAAUCUUCCGAAAUGGGCGAAAGCUUGACGGAGCAACGCCGCGUGAGUGAUGAAGGUCUGCGGAUCGUAAAACUCUGUUAUUAGGGAAGAACAAAUGUGUAAGUAACUAUGCACGUCUUGACGGAACCUAAUCAGAAAGCCACGGCUAACUACGU
rnacentral:rRNA from 1 species